rnacentral:rRNA from 1 species
UACGGAGGGAGCUAGCGUUGUUCGGAAUUACUGGGCGUAAAGCGCACGUAGGCGGCUUUGUAAGUCAGAGGUGAAAGCCUGGAGCUCAACUCCAGAACUGCCUUUGAGACUGCAUCGCUUGAAUCCAGGAGAGGUGAGUGGAAUUCCGAGUGUAGAGGUGAAAUUCGUAGAUAUUCGCAAGAACACCAGUGGCGAAGGCGGCUCACUGGCCCGAUGCUGACGCUGAGGCACGAAAGCGUGGGGAGCAAACAGG